rnacentral:rRNA from 1 species
AGCGAACGCUGGCGGCAGGCCUAAUACAUGCAAGUCGAGCGGCCCUUCGGGGCAGCGGCGGACGGGUGAGUAACGCGUGGGAACGUGCCCUUUGGUACGGGAUAACUGAGGGAAACUUCAGCUAAUACCGUAUGUGCCCUACGGGGGAAAGAUUUAUCGCCAUUGGAGCGGCCCGCGUUGGAUUAGCUAGUUGGUGGGGUAAAGGCUCACCAAGGCUACGAUCCAUAGCUGGUCUGAGAGGAUGAUCAGCCACACUGGGACUGAGACACGGCCCAGACUCCUACGGGAGGCAGCAGUAGGGAAUCUUGCGCAAUGGGCGAAAGCCUGACGCAGCCAUGCCGCGUGAAUGAUGAAGGUCUUAGGAUUGUAAAAUUCUUUCACCGGGGAAGAUAAUGACGGUACCCGGAGAAGAAGCCCCGGCUAACUUCGUGCCAGCAGCCGCGGUAAUACGAAGGGGGCUAGCGUUGCUCGGAAUUACUGGGCGUAAAGGGCGCGUAGGCGGAUGUUUAAGUCGGGGGUGAAAGCCCGGGGCUCAACCUCGGAAUUGCCUUCGAUACUGGACAUCUUGAGUACGGGAGAGGUGAGUGGAACUCCGAGUGUAGAGGUGAAAUUCGUAGAUAUUCGGAAGAAC